AACUUCGCAUAUACAGCCUAAACAAACAUCCGAGAGGAGUUGUGGCUCUUGAGCUGUAACGAAAAAUAUAUGUGCAAACAUCAUUAUGAGAGGAAUGCAUCGAACCUUCUCGUUAGGAAUUCAUGACACACUAAGCUUUUAUUGCGAUCGUUUAAGACGACACACCUUCAGUGGAGUUACAAUAAAAACAGCGAAAAUAAGGUGGACCAGUCGUUUGUUAGAUUCCUGCGGACCGGCAUUUUUGGCGCUGCGAUAUCACACACUCGGAGCACAUACUUGUGAUUUGCAUUUAAUAUAUGUGCGGACGCGGUUGUUCGCAACGUCACGGUUAAAAAUACAACUUAAACCAGCUUGAAUAUAAACAACGUCGUUCAGACGCCCACCGUAGCAGCUAAUACGGAUUACACUCCACUACAUUUGCUUUGAGAGCAUGUACUACGAGCGAGGAAGGAUAAUCGAAUCAUCAUAUUCCGUUUGAUUGGAUUUACGAUGAUAGAUUGAUAUGUGUGUGUGUGUGUGUGUGUGUGUGUGUGUGUGUGUGUGUGCUAAUACAGAACUUGAUUCAGCAAAUCAGUAUUAACGCUUCGCAUUAUCUGGACCGGAUUGUAAUCGGAUCAUCUUGUAACUCCUACUAGUUAGGUGCGGCUCGAAGCGGAUUGUUUAAUAGAGUCAGGGUCUUUUUGGGUUUUUUUCCUUCGCAGAUUUUGUCGUUCAUGCUGUUUCAUAUUGAAUUUUUUUUUGUAAUCGACGAUCAGUAUUCUGCAUUUCCAAAUUAUUUUUAAAACAUACGUGAUUAUUUUUAAUGCACUCUUGAAUGCACAAAGAUUCUUUGAGAUCUUCGGUACUUUUAAAUAAAUAUUCUAAAUAAUUUCUAGUAAAAGUUUUCUUUAAGAGAAAAUUUUUAUUAGAAAAUUAUGUAACUCGUGGAUUAACUCCUUAAUUAUUAAUUAUUGUUAAUUAAUUACUUCAUACUUAUGUAUUUGUUACUUCAUCAAUAUUUAAAAUCUUGUUUAUAAGAUCUUGUUUCAGUUUUUCAUUGACAGACGACAUUUAGAACUGCGUUACAGUCUAUUGUCGCGCUUAGUGAAGCUAUCGAAAGUAAAUUAAAGUAAUUUAUAAGAAAAAAAUGGACUUUAUAUAAAAAAACAGAAACCAAAAGUGGAAACUUGAUGAUAAUCACAUUGAAAUAAUCGAAUAACUUUCCUCAUCCUAAUUUUGCUUUCAUCGUAAAUAUACUGCAAUUAUCGCAUCGCUCCAGAUUUUUUUACCACUUCUGAUUACCAUUUUUUACAUUCAUUAAUGACACGUCAUUUAUCGUUAAAACGUCAGUUGGAAGGCAUUAAUUAUAACGUCGCAAAUCGAAUGUAAAAUAUCUACGUAUCUAUUUAAAUGUAAAUAUAAGAAGAGCAACUACAUGGCAAUUAUCUCAAUCGUCCGAUUUUUGUAAUAGCGUAACAUUUCUGGAAUGCAGUGGACAGUGCCAUAAUUAUGUAUACGUAACACUUUGUAGCGUUACGCAAACCAACAAUUAUUUAAAAAUAUGUACAAGUCACACAAAGGAAAUGAGAUUGAAUUAAUAGUAUUGCUUAUAAAUCACGGAUUACGGAUCUCUUACAUUAGUAUUAAUGCGUAUGGGAAAGCCUGACCUUAAAGAGAUGGAAUAAGAGAGCUCUCGAGAUUGGUUGAUAUAACGCGUAAGUCAAGGAUGCGGUCACGGACAGGAACUUUUUAAACAACAGCAAGACGCAAGUUGCUAUCGGCGAUAUGCGGAUGAUUUAAUUGUUAAACAAUCUUAAAGUUCGCGAUGAUGGGACUCGAUCUUUGGUCUUCAAAUUAAUCGAAAAUUUAUUAUUUGAAUAUCAAUAAUUUAAUUCUAUAUAAAUUAUAUAAAAUAUUAUUUGCGAUGUAACUCGGUUUUUAAAGAAAUCCGCAUCAAUAAUCGUUUCGAAUUAUCAAUUUCUUAAAUAAACUUGAAUGAACAAAUUCUAAACUUUUAAUAAUCACAAUAUAUAAUUUUUGUAAUA
rnacentral:lncRNA from 1 species